rnacentral:rRNA from 1 species
UACAGAGGUCUCAAGCGUUGUUCGGAUUCAUUGGGCGUAAAGGGUGCGUAGGUGGCGCUGUAAGUCGGGUGUGAAAUUUCGGAGCUUAACUCCGAAACUGCAUUCGAUACUGCGGUGCUUGAGGACUGGAGAGGAGACUGGAAUUCAUGGUGUAGCAGUGAAAUACGUAGAGAUCAUGAGGAAGACCAGUGGCGAAGGCGGGUCUCUGGACAGUUCCUGACACUGAGGCACGAAGGCCAGGGGAGCAAACGGG